AAAAGCACGCAGUCCGGUGGUGGUGUUCAUAAAAAAUUGACACGUAUGCUAUACGCAGUCCACAAAACAACAAAAUCUACCAGAAAAAUGGCCAGUAAUUCACCAAGGAGAAACGGGGAGGAUUCUCUGAAUGAAUCAUGGGUGGUCUUCAACCAAGAGGGGGGUGACAGCAGUAAUGGGAACGGCACAAACAGACCACUAUCCAUGUACAAUGGAAACAUGGAAAAGCUGCUGAUGGAAGCCCAGAGGGAGUCACGGUCCACAUCUAGAGGGAGUUCCCAGGGAGGCAGCCCCAAGAGUCCGCACAGUCCCGUAGGCAGCGGAGCUAACAGCGGACCUGGCUCUACUUAUAGUAAUGGAUCAGACAGAUCACAGACUGCUCCAUUGCUACCAGGGACGGGCGCUGGGUUGGCCCAGGGAGCUGCCGAGUGGAUCUGGGACUGGUCAAGUCGACCUGAACCACUCCCACCAAAGGAGUUUCGUUUCAAGCAUCCUGAUCACACUAGGUUGAGCAUCCGAAAGUCUAAGGCCAUGAAGAGCAACUUCUUAUCAACUGAAGUCUUGAGUGUCUUCAUUCCAUCCCUCAUCCUAACCAACCUUCUUACUUUGGGAAUUGGCAUUUACAUCGGGUUACGUGUGAUCUCCCCAAGAUCAAGCUGAGAUGGAUGCAUGGAUUGAUGGUACCCUGUUCGAAUCCAACCAGUGCAGACACUCAUUGAAGGGACUUAUUGCCAGUAUUUUUGGACACGGCAGUGGGCUGCUUCUUUUGGGCCUUGGAUUGCCAAUUGUUUUGGAAAAAAAAAAUUAAUAAAAUCACUUGUUCUUAUCAGACUUCUUUAAAAUGGGUACAGAAGUUAUCACAAGCAUGAAAAUUGUGACAUAACAUGGUAUACGUUGAGUGGUACACUAUCACAAGCAUCCCAAGAUGAUCCCUGAAUGGACUGUUCCAUUUUCACAAGGGAAAAGAAGA
rnacentral:misc_RNA from 1 species